rnacentral:rRNA from 1 species
AACGGAGGGGGCUAGCGUUGUUCGGAAUUACUGGGCGUAAAGCGCGCGUAGGCGGACCUGCACGUCGGGUGUGAAAUCUCGGGGCUUAACUCCGAAACUGCAUUCGAUACUGCGGUGCUUGAGGACUGGAGAGGAGACUGGAAUUCAUGGUGUAGCAGUGAAAUGCGUAGAGAUCAUGAGGAAGACCAGUGGCGAAGGCGGGUCUCUGGACAGUUCCUGACACUGAGACACGAAGGCCAGGGGAGCAAACGGG